rnacentral:lncRNA from 1 species
UCAUUUGAAGUAAUAACUAAAAUCUUUUAUAAUCUGUUUUGGUGAAACUAUUGUUAGUGUGUGAACUCUGGUCAUCGUCAUCAGUUUAUCUUGGCUAUUGCAGGACCAAAGGAUACACUGUCACCCCUCUCCUGUGUCAAACCCAUCCGAUAAAUUUUAUAACCUCUGUCUCGUCAUGCACCUAAUGCUUUCAUAGUGCAGUUAACCGAACAAAUUCUCCCAUCUGAUGAAUCACAGUUCACCUGCUGGAUAUGAUUUCAUGGAUAUUGCAUAUUGUUUUUUUGUAUAUUGUUUUAUGUAGAAGGUUUAUGCGUACUUUUGUAAACAUCAGGUACCCGAAUAAGCUGUACAACAUUGUUGCAAAGUGCCUUGGUAAACCAGUACCCAGCCCUGAGGAACAGAUUGGACUCUGGCUAUAUGCAAAAGGCGUGAGCGCCAUCAUGGUUCUACCAUUUCUUGUCAAUGAGCGAGGGGACGACAUGUUCACAAAAAUGACGCCAGGACAGGAGUUUGCCCAC